CCUACGGGAGGCAGCAGUAAGGAAUAUUGGUCAAUGGGCGCGAGCCUGAACCAGCCAAGUAGCGUGAAGGAUGACUGCCCUACGGGUUGUAAACUUCUUUUAUAAAGGAAUAAAAUGAGGCACGUGUGCCUUUUUGUAUGUACCGUAUGAAUAAGGAUCGGCUAAUUCCGUGCCAGCAGCCGCGGUAAUACGGAGGAUCCGUGCGUUAUCCGGAUUGAUUGGGUUUAAAGGAAGCGUAGGUGGGUUGUUAAGUCAGUUGUGAAAGUUUGCGGCUCAACCGUAACAUUGCAGUUGAUACUGGCAGGCUUGAGUGCAUGGGAGGUAGGCGGAAUUCGUGGUGUAGCGGUGAAAUGCGUAGAUAUAACGAAGAACUCCGAUUGCGAAGGCAGCUUACUGAACUGCCACUGACGCUGAUGCUCGAAAGUGUGGGUAUCAAACAGGAUUAGAUACCCUAGUAGUC
rnacentral:rRNA from 1 species